rnacentral:rRNA from 1 species
AUUGAACGCUGGCGGCAGGCUUAACACAUGCAAGUCGAGCGGAGAGAGGUAGCUUGCUACUGAUCGUAGCGGCGGACGGGGGAGUAAUGCUUAGGAAUCUGCCUAUUAGUGGGGGACAACAUUUCGAAAGGAAGGCUAAUACCGCAUACGUCCUAUGGGAGAAAGCAGGGGAUCUUCGGACCUUGCGCGAAUAGAGAAGCCUACGGCGGAUUGGCUGGUUGGUGGGGUAAAGGCCUACCAAAGCGACGAUCUGGAGCGGGUCUGAGAGGAUGAUCCGCCACACUGAGACUGAGACACGGCCCAGACUCCUACGGGAGGCAGCAGUGGGGAAUAUUGGACAAUGGGCGGAAGCCUGAUCCAGCCAUGCCGCGUGUGUGAAGAAGGCCUUAUGGUCGUAAAGCACUUUAAGCGAGGAGGAGGCUACUUUAGUUAAUACCUAGAGAUAGUGGACGUUACUCGCAGAAUAAGCACCGGCUAACUCUGUGCCAGCAGCCGCCGUAACAC